rnacentral:rRNA from 1 species
AGCUCCAAUAGCGUAUAUUAAAGUUGUUGCAGUUAAAAAGCUCGUAGUUGGAUUUCUGGUUGGGGCCAACGGCGCUUCACAGCGCCCGCGACCUCGCCAUCCGUCUGUUAACCCAGCAUGUCAUUCGUUUGAUGGCUGGCGGCUCAGACAAUUUACCUUGAGAAAAUUAGAGUGUUUCAGGCAGGCAGGCGCCGGGAUACAUUAGCAUGGAAUAAUAGAACAGGACUUGAUUCUCUUCUGUUGGUUUGAGGGAGUUGAGUAAUGAUUAAUAGGGAUAGUUGGGGGCAUUAGUACUUAACUGUCAGAGGUGAAAUUCUUGGAUUUGUUAAAGACUAACUUAUGCGAAAGCAUUUGCCAAGGAUGUUUUCAUUA